CCUACGGGCGGCAGCAGUGAGGAAUAUUGGUCAAUGGGCUUACGCCUGAACCAGCCAAGUCGCGUGAGGGAAGACUGCCCUAUGGGUUGUAAACCUCUUUUGUCAGGGAGCAACGCCGGCUACGUGUAGCCGGACUGUGAGUACCUGAAGAAAAAGCAUCGGCUAACUCCGUGACAGCAGCCGCGGUAAUACGGAGGAUGCGAGCGUUAUCCGGAUUUAUUGGGUUUAAAGGGUGCGUAGGCGGAAUGCCAAGUCAGCGGUAAAAUCGCGGGGCUCAACCUCGCUCCGCCGUUGAAACUGGCGUUCUUGAGUGGGCGAGAAGUAUGCGGAAUGCGUGGUGUAGCGGUGAAAUGCAUAGAUAUCACGCAGAACUCCGAUUGCGAAGGCAGCAUACCGGCGCCCAACUGACGCUGAAGCACGAAAGCGUGGGUAUCGAACAGGAUUAGAUACCCUUGUAGUC
rnacentral:rRNA from 1 species